rnacentral:rRNA from 1 species
UAAAGAUUCAUCGCUGAUAGAUAGGCAUGCGUUCCAUUAGGCAGUUGGCGGGGUAACGGCCCACCAAACCGACGAUGGAUAGGGGUUCUGAGAGGAAGGUCCCCCACAUUGGUACUGAGACACGGACCAAACUCCUACGGGAGGCAGCAGUGAGGAAUAUUGGUCAAUGGGCGCGAGCCUGAACCAGCCAAGUCGCGUGAGGGAUGAAGGUUCUAUGGAUCGUAAACCUCUUUUAUAAGGGAAUAAAGUGUGGGACGUGUCCUAUUUUGUAUGUACCUUAUGAAUAAGGAUCGGCUAACUCCGUGCCAGCAGCCGCGGUAAUACGGAGGAUCCGAGCGUUAUCCGGAUUUAUUGGGUUUAAAGGGUGCGUAGGCGGCCUUUUAAGUCAGCGGUGAAAGUCUGUGGCUCAACCAUAGAAUUGCCGUUGAAACUGGGGGGCUUGAGUAUGUUUGAGGCAGGCGGAAUGCGUGGUGUAGCGGUGAAAUGCUUAGAUAUCACGCAGAACCCCGAUUGCGAAGGCAGCCUGCCAAGCCAUGACUGACGCUGAUGCACGAAAGCGUGGGGAUCAAACAGGAUUAGAUACCCUGGUAGUCCACGCAGUAAACGAUGAUCACUAGCUGUUUGCGA